UUGUAUUGUACAAGUCUACAAAUACAGUUGAAACUGUAAGGGCAUGUUUGGUAGGCCAUCAACUACCACCAACCAGAGAGAAAGCGUUGUUCUUGUUGAGGGCGCUGAAGGGUUUUCGGUACUUCUUCUCCUCCUCCUCCUCUUCAUGUUGCCUCUUCUGCUUUGCCAGUUCAAGCAUCAAAACUCAUCCAUUUGCAAAGCUUCUCUCGAAAUCACUGUAAACACGCAAGCCUUGGCUUUCUAAACUCAUAAAGGUGAUGAACGCAUCGAUAAUGGACCCAUUGCCAGGAGAUUUCCCAGAAGUGGAGAGGAGUAUUUGGAACAUGGGGUUGUGAAAUGCAUUGCCAUCCCCAUAAGAUGUUUUUUCAAAACUUUUUUUUCCAUUAGAAAUUAAGUGCUUUGGGCAAUGUGGCUAUGUGGUAUUUCGAAAGUUGUGAUUUUCUGUUUAGAUUUCUUUUAGUUUUGUCCUGCUGUUUAUUAUGGGGUCCUUUUUGCUGAAUAAAUUGCUUAUCAAAAUUAGAAGGAAGGCUGUAAAUUUGGUUGCACAUUGGGGUAUAGAAACACCAUUGCCAGUUUAUACAGCACUCACUUGUUCUUCUUCCACAAUUUGUACUUUUGAAACUAAUAUAGAAGGAGUUGAAUCCACAAUUUGUAACAAAGUGGAAUUGCUAGCUAUUCCAGAAAAAUUAAAGAAUAGGUCAAUUAGUUGGAAUUUUUUUACGGUUUCGUUUUCAGUUAGGUCUCUGCGUUAAUACCCUACAUGAGCCUACUUUUAACUAAUUGGUUCUUUAAUUUCUCCUUUACACUUUUAUUGAAGAACACAUAAACUGCAGGCAUUUCUUAUUAAUCGUCUUGCUAGCCAAGGAUAUAAACGAAACCCCAUUUACAUAGAUUUCUCCCGGAGAUAGGUAGGUUUGACAUAUCUGUAAUCAAAUGAGAAAAAGAUAUUGGCCGGGCUUAGUUCAUGGUUUUCCAGAGGACCAUAAGCUGUAGGAAGCAGAAGCCCCAAGUGCCAGAAGAACAAGAACUGCUGCUCCCAUAUUGAUCAACAUCUGCUUCUCUUCAUCAUUCACCCCCUCUCCUAGAUUUCUCAUGCCCUUCUUUGCAGCAGCCAUCACAUUUGCAGCAAUGGAAUCCUCCUCUACUGGUUUCAGCAACUCUCUCAGCAUUCUUUGGUUCUGCAGGCUUCCCAUUACCCCUUUGUGACUUAGGUUCACUUAUGCCUCCUUCAGGACUAGUCAAAGCAACGCUUUUCGGAAGGCCUAAUGGAUGACCACCAUUCUUGUCAUCCCUUUCUUUUUCAUCUCUGGCACUAAAAGUAGAGUUUUGUGCCUUUGGCUCAGCAGCAGCUUCCUGGGGGCCUGCAGCUGGAGGAGCACUUCUCUUAUCCCUUUGCUUUUCAUCUUGAGCAGCAGAGGUAGCUGCUUGUGAAAUGACUUCCUGACCCUUUUGUGCCUUUGGCUCAGAAGAGCUAAUUUUCUGAGGGCCUGCAGUUGCUGUCAAACCAGGUUUUGACGGAAUUAGGUCCUCUGGCAGUUUCUGUGGCUUUGGCUCAGCAGCAGAAGCAGUUGGAGUUUUUGAAGAGGUAGGUAGUGCUUGUUGGCUUGGUUUGGCUGCUUCUUUAGGGCCUACUUGAGUGAUGCCUAGCUUUGGUAUUGUAAUGGUAAGAAUUUGAUUGUUGAAUUUGCCAUGAAUUUUACUCACGUCGCAAUUUUCUUGAAUAGGGAAGGUUUGGUUGAAACGGCUCCAUUUGUUAUUCCCAAGAGGCCGUUGUCCAUCAACCUUAAUUACACCAGGGGAAGCCGCAAAUGUUAUCCUUACUUGCUCCUUCACAAAACCUGAAAACACAAACAAAUUGAAAGUGACAUAUGACGUAACAUGUAUAGGAAUUUUAUGCUAGUAGCUUCGCAAAAUUAUAAGUUGCUCUUUAAAAUACAAAAUUCUCCUAUAAUCUUACAUCUUGUGGGUGCAUCUAAAUUCUUCUUUAUGAAUGUAUCUGAAUCAAUAUGAAUCAAACAAGUGUUCCAACUUA